rnacentral:lncRNA from 1 species
GAGAGAGAGAGAGAGAGAGAGAGAGAGAGAGAGAGAGAGAGAGAGAGAGAGAUUGGAGAAUAUCCUCAAGGUACAUGCUAAGAAUACUGCUAAUUUUACUGGUUACUUUCAUGGAAUAACUUGGGAUCUCUAAUUGUAGCAAAUGAGGUUUCUUAUUACAAUAAAACUGUUAAAUGAAAACAAUGGGUAAAGUUCUUUUUAUCAGUGGGUAUGCAAAGUGAAUGAAGUCAUGGACAUAGAGCUGGUUACCUCAAGAAGAUGGAUAUAAACAUAGGAAUGGGGACAGCAAGGAAAGAGUUUCAGAAAUUAUGAAGACUGAAGUGGCACUAAGUGAAGAUUGCAAAAAUGAGCACAGGAAGUCAAGGGACAAGAUUUCAUCAGGAAUGGCUGAGUAGGCUUGUAUUUGGAAAAUCCCUGGGAUAAUUACCACGUCAGCCAGGCCUGGUGGUAUGUGCUGGUGACACAGCUACUUAGGAGACUGAAGCAGGAAGGUCACAAGUUCAAGGUCAAUGUGGACAACUUAGUAAGUAAGACCCUGUCUCAAAAUUUAAGCAAAUAUAAGGGCCAGGGAUUUAGCUCAGUGGUGCCACCACCUGCCUCCAAAGUGCAAGGUCCUGAGUUCGAGCCCCAGUACAAAAACAAACAAACAAAAACCAAAAACCAAACAACAACAACAACAACAAAAACAAGACCAAAAUUUAAGAAAACAUAUAUAAGGGGAUGUAUCUUGGUGGUAAAGCACUUGCCUGGUAUUCUUGUGGUCCUGUGUUCAGCUCCCAGGAUUGGGAAAAAAAGGAAGCAAUUAUGUGUAGAGAAGUCUACACUUCAAAGCAGCUCUACAUUCCUA